GCGGAUGUAGCUCAGUUGGUAGAGCACAGGCUUCCCAAGCCUGUGGCCGCGGGUUCAAAUCCCGUCGUCCGCU
rnacentral:tRNA from 1 species